GCAAGAAAUUUAUCUAUUUUCCUCUGCAAGUGACAUAACAAGAAAAGGAGACAAUACAUCAGAGGAUGUAAGACGUGCUAAUUAAUGACUGAAUGACUAUAUACGCAGAAAUCAGUCACAUUGAACUAACAAAGCAUCUUAAGUAUCAGAAACCGUAGUUUACUAUUGUGACCUGGCAAAAUCAGUCGAUCUCAACUUUAGUUUCGAAACAAAUAAAGCAAAUUUCACAAUUGAAGUAACACUGCAUUGCUCAAUCAAGGCAGUUUAUGAGAAUAUUCAUAGCAACAACUAUAGAAAAACACACCCACAACUACUUAUGGAAACAAAGUUACC
rnacentral:misc_RNA from 1 species